UACGGAGGGUGCAAGCGUUGCUCGGAAUUACUGGGCGUAAAGCGCGUGUAGGCGGUCUCGUAUGUCUGAUGUGAAAUCCCCGGGCUCAACCCGGGAAGUGCAUUGGAAACUGCGAGACUGGAGUCCCGGAGAGGAAGGUGGAAUUCCAGGUGUAGCGGUGAAAUGCGUAGAUAUCUGGAAGAACACCGGUGGCGAAGGCGGCCUUCUGGACGGUGACUGACGCUGAGACGCGAAAGCGUGGGGAGCAAACAGG
rnacentral:rRNA from 1 species